AAUGAGCAAAUAACAACAAUAAUAAUUAAUAAUAACAGUAUAACAUCAAAUUUAUUACUUAAUAAGAAAUUAAAAAAAUACAAAAGGACUAAAUUAAAACUUCAAACGAACUUCGGGUUUAAAUAUGUAAAUAAACAAAAGGAAUAGUGCAGGACUGAAGUAAAAUGCGAUUAAAGCGUGAGGGACUUGUGGGGAAAUAUUUCCCAGUCCUGAAACGCUGAGCUUCAACUAGGGGCAGCACAUGGUCUAAGGACCAAAUCGAAAUAGAAGUAAAAUUCUCAGGCCAAAAUAAAAAAAAAAAACAAAAGACCGCAUUGAAGCAAACCGCAAAGGUGGAGGGAUCUAUUGCACAAAUAGCCCCCCAGGUGAAAACGCGCGGAUCCUCCCCCAGGGUCGGGUCACCGCGCGAGUCAGGGCCAAAACGACACCUGACCCUUAAUAUCAAAACGGCGCCGUUUUAAAAUACUUAUAAAACCUAAAAAAAACCCCUAAAAGUUCAUUUUUUUAACAGCUUCUAAAAAAAAACUGAGAAUACUCCUAGGCUCCCCAGCCCUCUGAGCUCCGGCCUAGGUCUGGCAAAAGGAGCUAGCACACCUCCGCCGUAUCCCCGCCGCAAGCGGCGGCCGGAGGUGCAAAAUAGACCUCUUUUUAGCCCCGUUUGAUUCCAAACUCCCCUAGAACUCGUAUUCAAAGCCAAAUCCUUUGAAAGUUGAGCCAAAACCGAAAAGAAAAGGAGGUAUCCGCUCACCUUCCCCUCUCUCCGGCGCGGCGUAGGUAAGGUUUUUGUUUUUGUUUAAAAAGGUUUGUAGAAAAUAAAAAAAAUGAAAUAAAAAACGUAAAAAAAAGGAAGAAGAAGAUGAUGUAGUUAACCUUUUUCUUUUGAUCUGCUUUUUGUAUUCACUAUUGUUGUUUUUUAUUAACUGUUUGUGAAGAAGCUACAAAGGUUUCAUUUUUCGGUCUUUAUAACCGAUUUUUACAUAUUUUUUAAAUCUAUUCUAUAUGCUGUCACUUCUUGCUUUUUGAUUUUGCAGGUGGUGGUUGCAGGCAGCGGCGGUGCAGGUGGCGGCAGGUGGACAGAAGGGUCAGAAGACCCUAGGUGCGGCGCACCUAGGGGUAGGGUUUUCUGAUUUUUUGUUUUGUUUGUUUUGGGCUGCUGGAAAUGGGUUUGGGUAAUUGGGCUUGUAUUUGGGCUGUUUGGGGUUUAGUUAUUUUUGGGUCUGAAUGGUUUGUUUAUUUUGUAAAUGGGCCCGGGCGAAAUUGGGCUUCUACACAUGAUAAAGAUUAAUGACGAAAUCUAUGUAUAAUUCUUAUAAAUUAAUUACAACUAAUUUAUAGAUUUGGAGGAUUUACCUUUAGGCUUUCCCCAUGAAAAGCAUGAUUGGCCAGCUUUCGAUGCUUUGCCCA
rnacentral:lncRNA from 1 species